rnacentral:rRNA from 1 species
CGCCUCCCUCCGCCGCCACUACAACGACUACCGUACGGACGGGACGACGACGAAGGUAAAGGUAAAGUUAAGUUUAGGUUACGUAAGUAGGACGGACGAACGUACUACGAACCAACGACCANGCCGCGUGAAGGAUAGAAGGUCCUCUGGAUUGUUAACUUCUUUAUUCUGGAAGAAACCAUAGUUCUACUGUGGUUGACGGUACCAGACGAAUAAGCACCGGCUAACUCCGUGCCAGCAGCCGCGGUAAUAC